AUAAACAAUUUGCUUUCUUAAAAGUUAGAAGCUUUU
rnacentral:tRNA from 1 species